GUCCCUGUAGUGCAAUGGUUAGCGCGUUGGACUUCUAAUCAAAAGGUCGUGGGAUCGAAUACCACCAGAGAUG